GUGAGCGGCAAGAGCUCAAAUUUGAAAGCUGGCUCCUUCGGGGUCCGCAUUGUAAUUUGCAGAGGAUGCUUCGGGAGCGGUCCCCAUCUAAGUGCCCUGGAACGGGACGUCAUAGAGGGUGAGAAUCCCGUAUGGGAUGGGGUGUCCGCGCCCGUGUGAAGCUCCUUCGACGAGUCGAGUUGUUUGGGAAUGCAGCUCUAAAUGGGUGGUAAAUUUCAUCUAAAGCUAAAUAUUGGCCGGAGACCGAUAGCGCACAAGUAGAGUGAUCGAAAGAUGAAAAGCACUUUGAAAAGAGAGUUAAAAAGCACGUGAAAUUGUUGAAAGGGAAGCGCUUGCGACCAGACUCGCUCGCGGGGUUCAGCCGGCAUUCGUGCCGGUGUACUUCCCCGCGAGCGGGCCAGCGUCGGUUUGGGCGGUCGGUCAAAGGCCUCUGGAAGGUAACGCCCCCUCGGGGGCGUCUUAUA
rnacentral:rRNA from 1 species